AACGAACGCUGGCGGCAUGCCUAACACAUGCAAGUCGAACGAGACCUUCGGGUCUAGUGGCGCACGGGUGCGUAACGCGUGGGAACCUGCCCUUAGGUUCGGAAUAACUCCCCGAAAGGGGUGCUAAUACCGGAUAAUGCCUUCGGACCAAAGAUUUAUCGCCUUUGGAUGGGCCCGCGUUGGAUUAGCUAGUUGGUAGGGUAAAAGCCUACCAAGGCGACGAUCCAUAGCUGGUCUGAGAGGAUGAUCAGCCACACUGGGACUGAGACACGGCCCAGACUCCUACGGGAGGCAGCAGUGGGGAAUAUUGGACAAUGGGCGAAAGCCUGAUCCAGCAAUGCCGCGUGAGUGAUGAAGGCCUUAGGGUUGUAAAGCUCUUUUACCCGGGAUGAUAAUGACAGUACCGGGAGAAUAAGCUCCGGCUAACUCCGU
rnacentral:rRNA from 1 species